rnacentral:lncRNA from 1 species
UCUCGAUUCAUGAUCAAAGGUGGUAAAAAUCCCAGAGCAGUUUGGUUCAGUGAGUGGAACAGUAGGCAGUACUAGCACAUGCCUCUGAUUGCCCUUUCAGUAGCCAGGUGUUGGUGAGAACUGUACCCUGGUGCUGCUGUCCCAGCAACAAGAAAAGAGGAAGACGCUGAACCCAGGCUCACAGCCAGUCCUCCCCAGAGCCUUCACCCCAGUUCAGUGCAUUAUGUUACUUCCAUAGUCUCAAUCCUCAGGGAGGACCUGCCUAAGUAUGGUGACUUCAUGUUCCAGUCCUUGAAACUCGAAAGCGGAAGAAACACACAGAAGACACUGUGGUAGGAAUGGAGCCUCCUUCCUGGUGUGAGAACGCUGCUUAACCUGGAAUGAGACUAUCUAGAAAGUCAUAACAAUCCGGUAAAUGCAGGAAUUUGAGUGCACUUUCUUCGGUUUCUAAAGUUGUAUACUCAUUUGUGCCUUCUUUAAGCAUUCCCUAGGCCUAGGCCAUCAAAACUACAGUACUCUGCUAUCCCACUAUGUUCAUUUCCUUAGAGUCAAAGAUGGGCCACUCUGUCAGAAAUAUGCUUAUGUUGCAUUGCCAUUUUUUUAUUUUCCAUUUACCUUUUUAGCUGCUUUAUAAGUUCCCUAAGAUUCUCUCUUCUUUAUUUUUUUCUCCCUGAUUUACUUUAUUAUUUGAGCAAGAGAACAGAUUGCUUCUUAGUAUUUAGCCCCAAAGAAGUCACACCUGAAAGGGUGAAGAACGAUGUAACCAUCUCUCAUCUGCCAGUGCGUGAAACAAAUGGGAGCUGCCGUCUGUCUUCCAAAUGUCCUCAUUUCAGCUGCUGAAGGUUUACUGUAGCUAUAAAAAUCCCAAUGCUACAGAAGGAUCCAAGUUCGGGAUGUUCAUCUGCUGUGGGGACUGCAGGCAAUGGAAAGUCUGGUCAUCAACAGUUCCAUUCUCUUCAGUGUCAACAAAGGUCUGGGUUGUGUGAGGAUCCAAGAAGAUGAGCUCAUCACCUAAGAAUCCUAUGACAUAAUGGGUGUUAUUUGGUUUUCCUCCUGAUGCCCCUAAAGACUGUGGGAUCUUAAAACACUCUUUGAAUGCAUCAACAUACACAGGAUCGAUUUGGUGUAUGCCCAAGCAAAGGGGCACAAUGAGGAGCAGGGGUUUCUAGGCUGGGCAGAAGGCAGAGGUGCCUUUACUCUGGUUCAAAGUGAUAAAAGAACCAGGGGCUUUCGUCAGCUGCGUCAGCAUGAAAGGGAAGGACUCGGCACAUUUUCUUGAUAUCCUCAAUGACCACUGUGUUAUCCAUUGAAACAUAAACAGCCAAGGAAUUCCAUUCAUCAAAUAAAGCAAGUUUUUUUAAUACCUGUGCAACUGUAUUUGGUCCAAACCAUUCGCCAACUGAUUUCCCCUCUCCUACACCCAUUUGUGCCAUUUGAUGGAUAGAAUAGCAACAGUCUUUUCUAUCUAAGAAUCACUGUAGGAUCCGUUGGUAUUCUUUGGGUUGUUCUUUUUGUUUCUCCCAGUUUCAGUCCCUUCCCAAGUGUCUACAGAUAAAGGCUUGAGCCAGCAUCAUCUGUCCACAACGCAGUAUACAUCCCCAGCCCGCGU